GUGCCAGCAGCCGCGGUAAUACAUAGGGGUCAAGCGUUGUCCGGAUUUAUUGGGCGUAAAGAGCUCGUAGGCGGUUCAACAAGUCGGUCGUAAAAGUUUAGGGCUCAACCCUAAAAUGUCGAUCGAUACUGUUGUGACUAGGAUACGGUAGAGGUGAAUGGAAUUCCGAGUGUAGCGGUGAAAUGCGUAGAUAUUAGAAAGAACACCGGUGGCGAAAGCGCUUUACUGGACCAUUACUGACACUCAGAGGCGAAAGCUAGGGUAGCCAAAGGGAUUAGAUA
rnacentral:rRNA from 1 species